rnacentral:rRNA from 1 species
GAUGAACGCUGGCGGCGUGCCUAAUACAUGCAAGUCGAGCGAACGGACGAGGAGCUUGCUCUUCUGAUGUUAGCGGCGGACGGGUGAGUAACACGUGGAUAACCUACCUAUAAGACUGGGAUAACUUCGGGAAACCGGAGCUAAUACCGGAUAAUAUUUUGAACCGCAUGGUUCAAUAGUGAAAGACGGUUUUGCUGUCACUUAUAGAUGGAUCCGCGCUGCAUUAGCUAGUUGGUAAGGUAACGGCUUACCAAGGCAACGAUGCGUAGCCGACCUGAGAGGGUGAUCGGCCACACUGGAACUGAGACACGGUCCAGACUCCUACGGGAGGCAGCAGUAGGGAAUCUUCCGCAAUGGGCGAAAGCCUGACGGAGCAACGCCGCGUGAGUGAUGAAGGUCUUCGGAUCGUAAAACUCUGUUAUUAGGGAAGAACAAAUGUGUAAGUAACUAUGCACGUCUUGACGGUACCUAAUCAGAAAGCCACGGCUAACUACGUG